rnacentral:rRNA from 1 species
GCAUAUCAAUAAGCGGAGGAAAAGAAACCAACAGGGAUUGCCCUAGUAACGGCGAGUGAAGCGGCAACAGCUCAAAUUUGAAAUCUGGCUCUUUUAGGGUCCGAGUUGUAAUUUGCAGAGGGCGCUUUGGCGUUGGCAGCGGUUCAAGUUCCUUGGAACAGGACGUCACAGAGGGUGAGAAUCCCGUACGUGGUCGCUAGCCUUCGCCGUGUAAAGCCUCUUCGACGAGUCGAGUUGUUUGGGAAUGCAGCUCUAAAUGGGAGGUAAAUUUCUUCUAAAGCUAAAUACUGGCCAGAGACCGAUAGCGCACAAGUAGAGUGAUCGAAAGAUGAAAAGCACUUUGGAAAGAGAGUCAAAUAGCACGUGAAAUUGUUAAAAGGGAAGCGCUUGCAGCCAGACUUGCCCGUAGUUGCUCAUCCAGGCUUUUGCCUGGUGCACUCUUCUAUGGGCAGGCCAGCAUCAGUUUGGGCGGUUGGAUAAAGGUCUCUGUCAUGUACCUCCUUUCGGGGAGGCCUUAUAGGGGAGACGACAUGCAACCAGCCUGGACUGAGGUCCGCGCAUUCGCUAGGAUGCUGGCGUAAUGGCUGUAAGCGGCCCGUCUUGAAACACGGACCAAGGAGUCUAACAUCUAUGCGAGUGUUUGGGUGUCAAGCCCGAACGCGCAAUGAAAGUGAACGGAGGUGGGAACCCUUAAGGGUGCACCAUCGACCGAUCCUGAUGUCUUCGGAAGGAUUUGAGUAAGAGCAUAGCUGUUGGGACCCGAAAGAUGGUGAACUAUGCUUGAAUAGGGUGAAGCCAGAGGAAACUCUGGUGGAGGCUCGCAGCGGUUCUGACGUGCAAAUCGAUCGUCAAAUUUGGGCAUAGGGGCGAAAGACUAAUCGAACUAUCUAGUAGCUGGUUCCUGCCGAU